rnacentral:piRNA from 1 species
UGUCCAGUUGCGUCUUAUGUGGCCAUGC